CUACGGGGGGCUGCAGUGGGGAAUAUUGCACAAUGGGGGGAACCCUGAUACAGCAACGCCGCGUGGAGGAUGACGCAUUUCGGUGUGUAAACUCCUUUUAUAUGUCAAGAAAAUGACGGUAGCAUAUGAAUAAGCGCCGGCUAACUCCGUGCCAGCAGCCGCGGUAAUACGGAGGGCGCAAGCGUUACUCGGAAUCACUGGGCGUAAAGGACGCGUAGGCGGGUUGAAAAGUCAGGUGUGAAAGCCUACAGCUUAACUGUAGAACUGCACUUGAAACUCUCAAUCUAGAGUAUGGGAGGGGCAGAUGGAAUUAGUGGUGUAGGGGUAAAAUCCGUAGAUAUCACUAGGAAUACCUAAAGCGAAGGCGAUCUGCUGGAACAUUACUGACGCUAAGGCGUGAAAGCGUGGGGAGCAAACAGGAUUAGAUACCCGUGUAGUC
rnacentral:rRNA from 1 species